AAGAAAAAAAGUAUAUUUUUUUAUGAGUCAUGAAAGCAUGGGUGGAUCAGCUCCACAAGUACUGUGUUUGAAACCUUUUUAGUUUUGUGGCUUUUAUUUUAGGGAGAGUUGUAUGUCCAAAAUGGUGGUAUGACACAUCUUUUUCUUUCAUUGAAUUGUAUUAAUCACUACUCAGAAUCUCAACCCUCUUUUGCUUUUGUAUCUUUGAAGCUUCUCCUUCUUUUUCCACCGCGAUAUGUCCCAUCUACUCAAGAACCUUAACUCCUAACUUAUCGUAAUCAUUAUCAUCUUAAUCAAAUAUACACAAUCAAAUAGUGGCCGGCAGAGUAAGAAUCUUCAUAGCGGGAUUCAAAAUAUAAAGGAACAAAUAUAUGAUAGAGCCAAGAAAAUUCCAAUGAAUCCAUACUAUAAAAUUGUAAGAAAUUAAAGUUUAAAUUCUAUUAGACAGAUACUUUUGUGACGGAAUUACUUGAUAUUUAUUGUGGAAGUGAAACAUGCAUUCAUGUAUAGAGUCGAGAUGUGUGCAAGUUUUAUCACUUUAUCAUAAUUAAAGGGUCGUUUUCAAA